UGUUGGAAGUAAUUGUAUCUAUGUCAAUGUUAAUUUUGUAACUGGUCUUCAAACAUUUCUGUUUUAAAUUCCAAGAAAUAAAACACAAGAUGGACAUUCUAGAGACCAAUCCCUCUAUAUGAAAGAAGCAAGUCGGCUGAUGUGAAUUUAUAUUCCAUUGACCUUUGAUCUUCAUAGCCACAUGAUAGCAUCAAAUCACAAGAUUAACAUAUUUGAAAGUCCUACCAAGAUUUGAAGUUGAUCCUGCCUGAAUUUCCUACUAAAGUGAUCCCAGAUGUGUGAUAUUCACAGGAGCUAGUUGAGUUCCAGUUUGAACUCAAG
rnacentral:lncRNA from 1 species